rnacentral:rRNA from 1 species
CGGACGGGUGAGUAAUGUCUGGGAAACUGCCUGAUGGAGGGGGAUAACUACUGGAAACGGUAGCUAAUACCGCAUAACGUCGCAAGACCAAAGAGGGGGACCCUCGGGCCUCUUGCCAUCGGAUGUGCCCAGAUGGGAUUAGCUUGUUGGUGGGGUAACGGCUCACCAAGGCGACGAUCCCUAGCUGGUCUGAGAGGAUGACCAGCCACACUGGAGCUGAGACACGGUCCAG